rnacentral:rRNA from 1 species
AGUCACUGACAUUAGACUACCCCGGUAGUCCAGGGUGUAAACGCUGCAGACUUGGUGUUGGAGGCCCGUUUGGGGGCAUUCAGUGCCGGAGAGAAGUUGUUAAGUCUGCUACGUUGGGAGUACGUCCGCAAGGAUAGAAACUUAAAGGAAUUGGCGGGGGAGCACCGCAACGGGAGGAGCGUGCGGUUUAAUUGGAUUCAACACCGUAAACUCACCAGGGAAGACUGUUACAUGAAGGCCGAGAUGAAGACUCUGCUAGAUUUUCAG